GAUGAACGCUGGCGGCGUGCCUAAUACAUGCAAGUCGAGCGAACAGAUAAGGAGCUUGCUCCUUUGACGUUAGCGGCGGACGGGUGAGUAACACGUGGGUAACCUACCCAUAAGACUGGGAUAACUUCGGGAAACCGGAGCUAAUACCGGAUAAUAUUUCGAACCGCAUGGUUCGAUAGUGAAAGAUGGUUUUGCUAUCACUUAUAGAUGGACCCGCGCCGUAUUAGCUAGUUGGUAAGGUAACGGCUUACCAAGGCGACGAUACGUAGCCGACCUGAGAGGGUGAUCGGCCACACUGGAACUGAGACACGGUCCAGACUCCUACGGGAGGCAGCAGUAGGGAAUCUUCCGCAAUGGGCGAAAGCCUGACGGAGCAACGCCGCGUGAGUGAUGAAGGUCUUCGGAUCGUAAAACUCUGUUAUUAGGGAAGAACAUACGUGUAAGUAACUGUGCACGUCUUGACGGUACCUAAUCAGAAAGCCACGGCUAACUACGUG
rnacentral:rRNA from 1 species